GGAUGUGAGGGUGAUCUGGUUGCUACAGCUGUCACCCCACUGAUUGCCAGGGUUGAUUCAGCUGAUCUGGCUAACUAGGUGAGUGUCCCUUUCCUCCCUCAUCACUCCACGUGUGUCCCUCCCAAAGCUGCACACUCCAUCUAAGAGGGUGACCAUCCCUGCUAGAGGAAGACCGUUCUUUGGUCAGGGAUAUACAAGUGGUCACGCUCCCCUGCUAGAACCUCCAAACAAGCUCUCAAGAGCAAGUGCAGACAUGAUGUUCCAUCACCCUUAAGUACAACAGUGUAUAGGUU
rnacentral:snRNA from 1 species